CUCACAAGGAUUGGGUUGGGAUCCGUGGCAUUGUGGAUCCUUUGUAAGUUUUUAAUUUUUAUUUCUUUUUAAAUUUAGUUUCUUUGUUGUGCUUAGUCAGUAUGCAAUUUUGAUUGUGAGGGUAACCUCUUUGUAUUUUCAUAAUAGAAAGAAAUAAGAAGGGAACUGUGUUCCUUUUUUUUUUUU